AGUGAACGCUGGCGGUAGGCCUAACACAUGCAAGUCGAACGGCAGCACAGUAAGAGCUUGCUCUUACGGGUGGCGAGUGGCGGACGGGUGAGGAAUACAUCGGAAUCUACUUUUUCGUGGGGGAUAACGGAGGAAAACAUCCGCUAAUACCGCAUACGACCUACGGGUGAAAUCAGGGGAUCUUCGGACCUUUCGCGAUUGAUUGAGCCGAUGUCGGAUUAGCUAGUUGGCGGGGUAAAGGCCCACCAAGGCGACGAUCCGUAGCUGGUCUGAGAGGAUGAUCGGCCACACUGGAACUGAGACACGGUCCAGACUCCUACGGGAGGCAGCAGUGGGGAAUAUUGGACAAUGGGCGCAAGCCUGAUCCAGCCAUACCGCGUGGGUGAAGAAGGCCUUCGGGUUGUAAAGCCCUUUUGUUGGGAAAGAAAAGCAGCAGGUUAAUACCCCGCUGUUCUGACGGUACCCAAAGAAUAAGCACCGGCUAACUUCGUG
rnacentral:rRNA from 1 species